rnacentral:rRNA from 1 species
UUACUUAUUAGUGGCGAACGAGGUAGUAAUACAUAGGAACAUCCCCCAAAGUCAUGAAUAAUUCGCCGAAAGGCGGACUAAUACACGAUGGUCCCGUAAGGGUAAAGUUUUAACGCUUUGGGAAUGGCCUGUGCGAUAUCAGCUAGUUGGCAGUGUAAAAGACUACCAAGGCUAUGACGUCUAGGGGAGGUGAGAGCCUGACCCCCACCGAUGGUACUGAGACACGGACCAUACACCUACGGGUGGCUGCAGUCGAGAAUCUUCCACAAUGGACGAAAGUCUGAUGGAGCGACGCCGCGUGAUUGAUGAAGCCCCUAUGGGGCGUAAAGAUCUUUUAUGAGGGAAGAAGUUUAUUGACGGUACCUCAUGAAUAAGAGGCUCCUAAUCUCGUGCCAGCAGGAGCGGUAAUACGAGAGCCUCGAGCGUUAUCCGGAAUUAUUGGGCGUAAAGGGUGCGUAGGUUGCUGUGUUAGCCUUCUGUCAAAUCCCCGAGCUUAACUUGGGAACUGCGGAAGAAACGGUACAGCUUGAAAGUGUGAGAGGCGUACGGAACUCAUGGUGUAGGGGUGAAAUCCGUUGAUAUCAUGGGGAACACCAAAUGCGAAGGCAGUACGCUGGCGCAUAUUUGACACUGAAGCACGAAAGCGUGGGUAGCGAAUGGGAUUAGAUACCCCAGUAGUCCACGCCCUAAACGAUGAUCUCUCGCUAUUCGGAGUAUCGACCCUCUGAGUGGCCAAGCUAACGCGUUAAGAGAUCCGCCUGGGAAGUACGGCCGCAAGGCUAAAACUCAAAGGAAUAGACGGGGACUUGCGCAAGCAGUGGAUUAUGUGGUUUAAUUCGAUGGUAAACGAAGAACCUUACCAGGGUUAGAAAUCAACGUGAAAGCUCUAAGAAACUAGAGCCCUCGCAAGACUAGUUGACAGGUGAUGCAUGGCCGUCGUCAGUUCGUGGUUUGAAUUGUACCCUUAAGUGGGCUAACGAACGCAACCCUCGUUGUGUGUUACAAGUGUCACACGAGACCGCCCCCGCC